rnacentral:lncRNA from 11 species
AUGGGGAGCACUGCCAUGGACACCAAGAAGAAGAAAGAUGCCUCUUCCAGCAGCGGCUGCAAGAAAAGCUCCGGCCAGAAGAAGCGCUUGUUGCGAGUCCACAUCCCAGAUCUCAGCUCAUUUGCCAUGCCGUUCCUGGAUGGAGAUGUGGACAAUUCAGAGAAACAUGCCUCACGAAAGACAGAAGACAACUACACCACAGGCAGCCCUUCCAGAGGACUUUUCUCAAAGGGGCUCCAGAACCGGCCUUCCAGCCCAGCCUCUGCUCCGGUCAAAUCUAAGCAUAGCCCAGGUUCACCCAAAACAGUGUUCCCUUUCCCGUACCAGGAGUCCCCGCCUCGCUCCCCGCGCCGCAUGAGCUUCAGCGGCAUCUUCCGCUCCUCCUCCAAGGACUCUUCCUCCCCGGCCUCCAACCCAUCUACCUCCCCUGGCGGGAUCAAGUUCUUCUCCAGAUCAAGAAAAACCUCUGGCCUGUCCUCUUCUCCAUCAACCCCAACGCAAGCGACCAAACAGCCAACAUUUCCUCUGGAAUCCUACAAACAUGAACCUGAAAGGCUAGAAACACGGAUCUACACGCCCUCCUCUCCUCCGGACACCGGCCAGAGGCUCGGUCAGCCUCCCGGACAAAGCGUGGCCAAGCCCCCCACCCCAGCGCCCACCCCCUGUGCUACCUCAAAAGCAAUCCAACUUGUUCUGCAUAAUGUGUGACAUUUUUGGCGAUGCGCUCCACCAUCUGGCAUCAUUAUCCCCAUGAUGUUCAAGAACAGAUCCUUCCUUAGGCAAAUGGAAAUAAAGUGCACAUCUCUUUUAAAAUCCUUUGCUUUGAAAAUAUAACUUUAUCAGUAGACAACAUAAUUUUGCUGAAGCUCAAAGGUUUAGAGGACUGCAUUUGUACCGUUUCUAUAGCAUAGGUCUGAUCAGAAUUAACUGUUACUAUAGAACUAUGUACAGUAGAGUCUCACUUAUCCAAGCUAAACGGGCCGGCAGAAGCUUGGAUAAGUGAAUAUCUUGGAUAAUAAGGAGGGAUUAAGGAAAAGCCUAUUAAACAUCCAAUUAGGUUAUGAUUUUACAAAUUAAGCACCAAAACAUCAUGUUAGACAACAAAUUUGACAGAAAAAGUAGUUCAACGUGCAGUAAUGUUAUGUUGUAAUUACUGAAUUUACAAAUUUAGCACCAAAAUAUCACGAUAUAUUGAAAACAUUGACUACAAAAAUGGCUUGGAUUAUCCAGAGGCUUGGAUAAGCGAGGCUUGGAUUAGUGAGACUCUACUGUAAUUAAUUUUCAGUCUUCCAAAUAUAUGCACAUGCUUGUUUCAGUCAAAAUCUCCAGUGCUUUACAUAAUUCGAUACAGAUAUAUUUGGGACACACAUCUGUUCCCGUAUACUGUCAUUUCAGUUUAAAUGUGGGAUGAUAUAUUGAUGGGAAGAACUCUAAUUUGGCGCUGAUAUGCCUAAGGAAGGAAGAACGCUACCAAAUGAUUUUGCUAAAUGUUUGGGAGAGCCCUAAGUAGAAUACAGUUGAUGCAGUAGUCAAGUGUGACAAAUGUUUAGCCCACCAUCAAAAACAAGCAGAAUAUACAGAGAUCUAGCAACAAUGAAAACUGCUGGGAAUUCACUAUAGAAAGCGAGUUUCAUAGUUGCAGAGCAUCUACUGAGAAUUGCUAUGCAUUUUUUCCUACUUUGAAGAGGUGAAGUUGAGAAGUAUUGCGUUGAGCUGAGAAACCACAGCAAUGGACAGAGGAGGAAGUCACUAAUCCUUGCAAGGGUCUAAUAUUGUUGUGCAUAGUAUUCUCUUCUGAGUCACAUAGCUCUGUAUAAAAGUCCCAACAGUCCACCAUCUAAACCAGACACAUCCAUACCAUGAGAAAAUUGUUUAAACAAAGGCAGUUCCAGAAGCAAGGUCAUAAGGCAUUACAGAGGUCAAGCCAACUGAGACUUACCAGAAAACAAAUAAAUGGAGUAAAGGUGAGUUAGAGCCAAGGAGGAAUCACUGAAGUUUGGACACAGAGGUCAAAUAAGUCAAGCAAGAAUAGUCUAACAGGAUCAUAGUCCAUAUUUAGAUAUCAAGACAAGAGGAAAGGAGUUAGGAACUGUUGGUGAGCUUUAGGUUACUAUUGUUGUUCCUAUCGGGAACUGAGGCUUUCAUGGCUGAGAUACCCGAGACACACUCAGCAGACUCAGUUGUAGGCAUUUUAACAUAAGGCCUCCGCAGGAACAUAGCUCUCAUCUCAUAGAGACCACCUUCUGAGGAGUCUCUUACUCAUGAGGAAUCAUGCCGUGCUAAUGUGCACUUGAUAGGAUCCUCUCCAGCUUCACUCAUGCUUUCAUCCUAUGUUGCUGCAAUGUAUCUGAAGGAGGCUCUGCCUCACUCUCAGACCCUGGAGUUGGGUUUCCUCUGUCUUCAGGCAGGACUUCCACUACCUUCCUGGGGCCCCAGAAAUUCCUCCAGAAGCAAUCUCUACAUCAUUGUUUCUCAACCUGUGGGUCCCCAGGGGUUUUGACCUACAAUUCCUGGAAAUCCCAGCCAGUUUACCAGCUGUUAAGAUUUCUAAGAGUUGAAGGCCAAAACAUCUAGGGAUCCACAGGUUGAGAACCACUGCCCUACAUGGAGGAUGUGACCUAUCAAAGCUGAGGGGGACCCAGUGCAGAUGAAGAACUAUCUAUAUAUAUAAAAGAGUGAUGGAAUCAGGGCACCGGACAAAACAACAAAACUACAGGCUCCCCAACCUCGAAAUUUGACAACACAACCCAUCAUCCAUGGCUCUAGGUUGAUACAACAAAAAGAAAAGAAAAAUAAAGUCCUAAUUAAAGGGAGAGCAAUAAUUGUUUUUAUUCAAUUGCUGUCAGUUAGAGGGCUAAGCUCCACACAUAGACCCCCUCUAUCGUCACCACUUUCGCAGUACACAAACAACCAAAUGCAUACUAAACAUAAAGACAACCAUACAACACACAUUCAAUACCACCACUACCUCAACAAUUUCUCACCAACACCACCAGACAACACCACAGCAACGCGUGGCCGGUCACAGCUAGUUUCCCUUCUAAAAGGCUGAAGGAUUAUACAGAUGGUAGACCAAAUAAAUAACUGUGGUGAGGCACAGGUCCCCUAUACUCUAGGAGUCUAGAGAAACUAAGAGAGUGAUGUUGAAAAAUGAAUCAAGG